rnacentral:snRNA from 1 species
GAAUAUGAGGGCAGCCUGGCUGUGAUAUCUGUCACUCCAUUGAUAGACAGGACUGAUUGAGCUGAUCUGGCUGGCUAGACAGGUGUCCCCUCCCUCCCUCCCUCCCAGGUAUGUCCCUUCUGAAGCUGUAUGCUUAGUAGAAGAGCAUAACCUUCCUCAGUAGUGCUUCAUGCACUGCAGUCCAUUCUUCAGUCAAGGAUAUACAAGUAGCUGUGCUCCCUUGCUACAACCUCCAAACAAGCUCUCAAGGUCCAUUUACAGGAACACGCAGGAUAGUCAAGCUCUAAGAAUCCAGUCACUGAUUCUUU